UACGUAGGGUGCGAGCGUUAAUCGGAAUUACUGGGCGUAAAGCGUGCGCAGGCGGUUCGUCGUGUCCGAUGUGAAAGCCCCGGGCUCAACCUGGGAAUGGCAUUGGAAACUGGCGGGCUUGAGUGUGGCAGAGGGGGGUGGAAUUCCGCGUGUAGCAGUGAAAUGCGUAGAGAUGUGGAGGAACACCGAUGGCGAAGGCAGCCCCCUGGGCUAACACUGACGCUCAGGCACGAAAGCGUGGGGAGCAAACAGG
rnacentral:rRNA from 1 species